UCCUAAAAAUUGCAAGGUAAACCUUUCCCAGGGAGAGUUCCUUAAGUCAUUGAACGGGCAACAGCGCCCUCUGUUGGGAUUUUGUAGAAGCAAACUCCGCGCGGCCGCUCGCUUUCUUUUUUUGCGGAUUUCUUUCGGUUCUCCAAAACCUGUUACUACGAAGAGCAUUUGAAAAGUUCAGUUCUUAUUAUAUCCACUCAUUUUAGAAACGGUUGUUUCAGCAUCCCAAAUGUUUAAAGGCCUCAAAAAAAUGUACAAAUAAAUGCCCAGCCUCUACUAACUUGAGCCGGCCUCUCUUGCUCUUACUUUCUAGUGCAUUUCGCGGUAACACCCAAUCACGUGACACAGGAAAAGAUUCCCGCAAGAACUCAAUACAGUGCAAACGCAAAGGACUCACACACGCUCGCUAGGUGGAACCAAACCUGAGACAUCCCAGCUGUCUUGGGCC